rnacentral:pre_miRNA from 1 species
UGUAACAGCAACUCCAUGUGGAAGAGCUGUGGUUCCAGUGGAGCUGCUGUUACCUG